UACGUAGGGUGCGAGCGUUGUCCGGAAUUAUUGGGCGUAAAGAGCUUGUAGGCGGUCUGUCGCGUCUGCUGUGAAAAUCCGGGGCUCAACCCCGGACUUGCAGUGGGUACGGGCAGACUAGAGUGUGGUAGGGGAGACUGGAAUUCCUGGUGUAGCGGUGAAAUGCGCAGAUAUCAGGAGGAACACCGAUGGCGAAGGCAGGUCUCUGGACAGUUCCUGACACUGAGGCACGAAAGCUAGGGGAGCGAACAGG
rnacentral:rRNA from 1 species